GGCUUCGUGGUCGAGUAGUAAGGACACUUGCCUUUUACCCUGGAGUUUCGGGUUCGAUCCCCGACCGAAGGGCUA